rnacentral:RNase_P_RNA from 1 species
CGAGAUGGACAGACGAUCGCGGCUGCAGAGACGAAAGGCUGCAGGUGAGGAAAGUCCGGGCUUCACAGGGCAGGAUGCCGGAUAACAUCCGGUGGAGGCGACUCCCAGGCCAGUGCAACAGAAAUAAACCGCCGGCCACGCCGGUAAGGGUGCAAAGGCGGUGUAAGAGACCACCGCCCGCGCGGUGACGUGCGGGGCACAUGUAAACCCCAUCCGAAGCAAGACCGAACAGGACAGACAGGCUGCCCGCCAUUUCCGAAUUUGUUCGGAACGAUGUCCGGGUAGGUCGCUUGAAUCUGCCGGCAACGGCAGAUCUAGAUAGAUGAUCGUCCGAUACAUAACCCGGCUUAUAGUCCAUCUCGAUGU